GAUGCUGUCAUAACGGAAGACAGCGAUGCAUUUUUGUUCGGCGCGAGUACUGUAUAUCGCAAUGUGUUCAACACCAAAAAAUACGUGGAAGUAUACUCUGUAGAAAAUAUACAGCGGGAUAUAGGUCUUAAACGGGCACAGAUGGCUGAACUCGCACUGUUGCUCGGAUCCGAUUACACAGAAGGUAUACCUGGGGUGGGUAUUGUUAAUGCUCUUGAAAUUGCAUCUGUAUUCUCCGGAAUGGAUGGCCUAACGACAUUUCGAAACUGGGUGGAAAAUGGUGAUCUUCCUGAUCAAGUUAAUCGUGGGAAUCGAUGUUUGGCAGGGUCAAGUUUGCCAAAAAAACAUGUCGUGGCAAAAGAUGGCGAAGGCGGCCAUUUAGUGUCGGACAAGGAAAAAAACAUCGAUUUGAAGGAAGGUGAAGUUGCAAAUAUCUACCUCCAACGAGAAAUCUUCAAGCAAAAGCACCAAGCCGCGAGAACAAGAUGGAUUUUACCAAAUGACUUUCCUUCAGUUGCGGUGAUCGAAGCGUAUGCAAAGCCUUUAGUUGACUCCUCGAAGGUGCACCUUGAAUGGGGCAAGCCUAACUUUGAGCUCCUUCGCGUCUUUUGUCUCGAAAG
rnacentral:lncRNA from 1 species